rnacentral:lncRNA from 1 species
GGAACAUUCUGUGUUAAGAUAUAUGAUUUUCAACCUUGUUAAAAGAAAUAUUGAAAGAGGGAAAUUGAUUUUUUUUCCCCAGAAAAUUUGCCUGUCACCCUCCAAGAUAAGUUACUGUUAUGUGUGUCCAUUAAAUAAGUUUAUUAUAUGAAAAGUCACACUCUAAGAAAAAAAAUUCAGUCAGCAUCGACUUCCAGGAUUCAUGCAGUCGUUUAAUUCAAAGAAUCAAGGUUAACUGAGCCGAUUCUCAUUAAUGUGCAAUCGAACUAGCUAUGGAAUGGGUAGCAUAGAGAAUAGGAACAAGUUAUACCCUCAUUAGGGAAAGUGUGUUGGUCACCUCAGAGACGGAUUCUUGGGAAUACUGUAAUCACAGAAAGAGUAAAUAAAAGUAGUGUUAUAUAAAUCUGGCAGUAGUAAGCAUAUGUGCUAAAUGUCUGGUAAAAGAGCAUGCAAUAUUUGGUAGAAGAGAUCAGUGAGAGAACGAGGUCAUAUUUUAAAGUGGAAGAAAACAUCUAAUCCAAAGAUUUUCAAACUGUUUCCACAAAGCCGUGUGUGCCACGGAGAUAUCUGGGGACGGAGGAAGAGGGGAAGGGAGGCUGAGUGGAUGGCUUGUUCUCCCUACCCAGCUGCAUCCUCUUUCAACCACAGGAGCUCUGCUUUCACGUGUGUUCUGUACUGAGAUGAUCACGAGUGCAUUUGAAAAAACAAGGAACUCAGAGCCUAAAUAAUGUGUCUUAGGUGAGUUCUCUCAGAAGAUGACCCAGAAAGUGAUUCCUAAAAAGGACCAAGAAGUAUAACUUGUGGAACUCAGAAGAGAAGAAAGUAUUAUGUCAUGAAGUGAAUAAGUGAAGAGAAAUAGACCUAAGAGUAUCCUUUAGUAAGUCUGAGGCGAAAAGAACAAGUUCUCCAUCUUUGGAAUUAAGGAGCGAGGAGUUAUUCCCAGAAGGCCAAGAGAAUGAGAAGAAGCGUUAUUGGUCUAUUCAAGAUUUUUCACCCUUCCUUGAGCCAAGUUUGAGAAAUUUUACUGUCCUAGAAAUUCAUCAAAUGUGUGGAGACUUUCGAACUUAUUAACAAAUAAUGAUCAUGUCAUCUGGCCAUGAAGCAGUUUUUAAGUAUUCUUCUGGAUCUUAGCUAGCAUUGUACAUUGAACUACUCUACAGAUAAAUCUCUGAUUUAUUUUCAUAACAAAAAGCAGCUCGCAUUCAACAGAGAAGCCACGAAAAGCACACAGAAAAUCCCAAUGGAAAAAAAUCUCCAAAGUUCACUUGUGAAUCUACUGUCUAAAGACAAUU